AUUGAACGCUGGCGGCAUGCUUUACACAUGCAAGUCGAACGAGUGGCGGACGGGUGAGUAAUAUAUCGGAACGUGCCCACUAGCGGGGGAUAACUACGCGAAAGAGUAGCUAAUACCGCGUACUAUUGGAGCGGCCGAUAUCGGAUUAGCUAGUUGGUGGGGUAAAGGCUCACCAAGGCAACGAUCCGUAGCUGGUUUGAGAGGAUGACCAGCCACACUGGGACUGAGACACGGCCCAGACGCCUACGGGAGGCAGCAGUGGGGAAUUUUGGACAAUGGGGGAAACCCUGAUCCAGCCAUCCCGCGUGUAUGAGAAGGCCUUCGGGUUGUAAAGUACUUUUGGCAGAGAAGCGGUAUCUGCAGAAUAAGCACCGGCUAACUACGUGCCAGCAGCCGCGGUAAUAC
rnacentral:rRNA from 1 species